rnacentral:sRNA from 1 species
ACUGGGUGUGGUGGUGCACACUUGUAAUCCCAGCAGCUCAGGAGGCUGAGGCAGGAGGAUCACGAGUACAAAACAAGCCUCUGGAAAAGUGAGGUGCUAAGCAACUCAGUGAGACCCUGUCUCUA